rnacentral:rRNA from 1 species
AGGCGACGACGGGUAGCCGGCCUGUGAGGGCGACCGGCCACACUGGGACUGAGACACGGCCCAGACUCCUACGGGAGGCAGCAGUGGGGAAUAUUGCACAAUGGGCGAAAGCCUGAUGCAGCGACGCCGCGUGAGGGAUGACGGCCUUCGGGUUGUAAACCUCUUUCAGCAGGGACUAAGCGAAAGUGACGGUACCUGCA